AAAGCGGAGGAAAAGAAACCAACAGGGAUUGCCCCAGUAACGGCGAGUGAAGCGGCAAAAGCUCAAAUUUGAAAUCCUGCGGGAAUUGUAAUUUGAAGGUUUCGUGGUCUGAGUCGGCCGCGCCCAAGUCCAUUGGAACAUGGCGCCUGGGAGGGUGAGAGCCCCGUAUGGCGCACGCCGACUCUUUGCACCGCGGCUCCGACGAGUCGAGUUGUUUGGGAAUGCAGCUCUAAGUGGGUGGUAAAUUCCAUCUAAAGCUAAAUAUUGGCGAGAGACCGAUAGCGAACAAGUACAGUGAUGGAAAGAUGAAAAGCACUUUGAAAAGAGAGUGAAACAGCACGUGAAAUUGUUGAAAGGGAAGGGCUUGCAAGCAGACACGGUUUUACCGGGCCAGCGUCGAAAAGGGGGGAGGAACAAGAACUCGAGAAUGUGGCGCGCACCUUCGGGCGCGCGUGUUAUAGCUCGUGUUGACGCCUCCAUCCCUUUUCGAGGCCUGCGAUUCUAGGACGCUGGCGUAAUGGUUGCAAGCCGCCCGUCUUG
rnacentral:rRNA from 1 species